rnacentral:lncRNA from 1 species
GUAAAGCAAUCAGCAGAAGAAUCUUUUAGAGUUGAGUACUUUGUUUUUAUAAUUGAUCAAGCUCUAUCUUCUCUGAGGGGUCGAUUUGAACAAUUCAAACAAUAUGAUGACAUAUUUGGAUUUUUGUUUAAUUUGAAAAGGUUAAGGGAUGCAACUUUAUCAAGUUUGUUGAACUCUUGUAUGAAUCUUGAGAAAUAUCUUGAACAUGAUGGGCGUUCGGACAUCAGUGGAGAUGAUUUAUAUUCGGAGUUACAAGUCUUGAAGAUUUAUUUACCAAAUGAAAUAACAAGAGCAAUUGAAGUGCUGCAAUAUUUGAAGACUCACAAUAUUUGUUAUCCAAAUGCUUAUAUUGCUUACAAAAUUUUGUUAACCAUACCAGUUACAGUUGCAUCUGCGGAAAGAAGCUUCUCAAAAUUGAAGUUGAUCAAGACCUAUCUUCGAUCAACUAUGUCACAAGAAAGAUUAAACGGGUUGGCUAUGUUAUCAAUAGAAAAGGAAAUGGUUGGGCAGCUAAAUUAUUCAGAUUUGAUUGAUGUUUUUGCCUCUAAAACGGCAAGACGAAUAGUAU